UAGUUUGUGCUAUGAAGGAAUGUGCAUCUCUUUUGUUGACAGCUCCUGUUCAUCCUGAAAUUUUAAAUAUUUUUCUCAGUUUGGACUAUCAUAGUACCAAAAAAGUGGCAGCAACCCCCUCAAAAAAAAAGUGGCAGCAAAGAUGUAUGGGGGGAACAUUUCAUUUUUGUUUUAGGUUUAAGUGAAGUAGACAUCAUGAUUUUCUUUCACAAAAGAAACUUGAUGUCACGGUCAUGUCUGGUCAUUUAUCAUACUGGAAUUUUCUACAUGAUUUUAGCAGAAUACUUCAAUAUGAGCAACUGUGGUUGGCGAGGACAAAAAUAAGCAGUGCAGCUGGGAAAUCCUCUAUUCAGAGUAGUUCUUUUACUGUAUGUUACAUUCGAUGGCAUUAUACUGUACAGAGACCAUAGAUUGCAUGGCUUUAGUCUUCAGAAUUAGAGGAUGAUUUUCUUUUGUUUCGAGGAUUUUUGAGUUGUGGUAAUGUUGUAAAGUCUUCGCAUAACCACAUAUGAACAAACACUCUCUCUUUCAGUGGUAUGAUUCAAGAGUUAGUCCUGUAAAAUAAUUCUGAAUUGGAAUUUCAUAUUUAAUGUUCUGUAUUCUUGCUGGCUCUGAAUGAUCUGACAACACCCCAGUUUUUUUUAA